AAUUUUGGACAAUGGGCGCAAGCCUGAUCCAGCCAUGCCGCGUGAGUGAAGAAGGCCUUCGGCUCGUAAAGCUCUUUCGGUCGGAAAGAACUCGCCCGGGCUAAUCCCCUGCGCGGAUGACGGUACCGUCCCAAGAAGCACCGGCUACCUACUUGCCAGCAGCCGCGGUAAUACGUAGGGUGCGAGCGUUAAUCGGAAUUCAUGGGCGUAAAGCGUGCGCAGACGGUAGAUUAAGACAGGCGUGAAAUCCCUGGGCUUAACCUGGGAACUGCGCUUGUGACUGGUCAGCUAGAGUACGGCAGAGGGGGGUGGAAUUCCACGUGUAGCAGUGAAAUGCGUAGAGAUGUGGAGGAACACCGAUGGCGAAGGCAGCCCCCUGGGCCGAUACUGACGCUCAUGCACGAAAGCGUGGGUAGCAAACAGG
rnacentral:rRNA from 1 species